UGCAGACAACUAUGUUAAUGGGAAGCAACGACUGAAGGAUUAUAGCUUGCAGACUGGCUUUGUAGGAGUAGAUGUACUCUGGUUUGCAUUUACCUGGACUGUGGAGAUCAGCAAUCCCCGUAUCUGUGAGUGUGACAGAGUGACUCCAACUGCCCCUCCUCACCUCUUGUUUGCCACAGUCUCAGGAGGAAAUUCAGCUACAGUAUGAGGCUUUCGAUUUCAUGAGCUAAUGUUAAGCUUCCCAGCAAGUGCCUGCCUUGUGAGUUAAUCUUGCACUCAUUAUCUACACCAGCAAAAAUACACCCUUGUGACUGAAAGAAAUGACACCUUAACAGAAAAUAGAAAAGAAAAGCAGCUGCCCACUGUGAUGAGAGAAAACAACCUGAGCACAAUACUCCUUGAAGACCUGUUUGAAUUGAUACAUAACGACAGCCAUCAUCAAAACAAAGAUAAUGUAAUAGAGAUUAAGAAAAAAAAAAAAAAAAAAAAGGAAAGAAAAACUCACAAUAGUGAGAGGGUGUGGUAAUAAAACUGUUUCUGGAAAAAUCAUAAAUACAGACUAUACUAAUAAAACCAUGGAAAGAAUUAACAGGACUGGAUUUCCUUCUAAGCAGACCAAUGUUUUUGUGCUAUAAUGAUGAGUAAUCAGUUGAAGGAGGAAAAAAAUAAUAAUUUACAUUAUUUUACAUUAUUCCUUCCAGGGCGCAUCAAAAGAUUUAUAAAAAAUAAUUUGUAUUCAUAAAGCAAGAAAGGUAGUGAGAAACACAGGAUGUUUUCAUGCGUACCACCUAACUCUCUUUCCAGUUAAUGUGCUAAUCUUUUAUUCUUCAUGAUUCAUCUCGCUCUGCAUGUCAUUCAAAUUAACCAUCACUCAAAUAGACUUGGAACUGGGGAGGUCCAACGGAAACACAGCCCAGACACUUCCAUGUCCAUUCCCCCGACUCCA